UGUCGAUUCUGUAGAUCUCGAACAAUAACUCGCUUAUCACUUCGACGCUCACUUACACUUCGCAUUCGAUCUCACCUGACCUUGAUUUUGUAUUCUGUAAACAUCACUAGCUCACUUGCGAAGUGAAGUGAGCUUCGAUAUAUCUUUCGAGUAACUAGUGAUUGGCGCUUAAUGAGAAGAUACCAAUCGGUAAUUACCGAUUUAUUGUUUUUAGCUAAAAUAAUGAAAUUCUGCCAAAGAACUAUAAUUUGGAUGAUUUUAUUCACGUUUCUGUACUCGAAUUUAAAUUACUCAAGCCUUAAUAAGUUAAAUUAUAAUGUUUUUAAUCAUAAACUUAAUUCUUUUGGAUGAAUGAGCAUUGAAUCUAUGCUUACAUUUUUAUAACUCAAAGCUAAAAAAAGUUUUGUACGAAUGUUUGAAAACAAAGUUGAGGAAUUUCAAGUGCAUUUAUAUGUUUUUAAGUGGUUUGGUGCAUAGAUUGUGGUGUUUUGGCUGCGUGUGGACAUAUUUUGAAACGGGAUAAUGAAUGUAAGCGAGCGCCCAUCCCAUCUGUCCUUUGCCCUAAUAGAAGCAAUGAUUGACUUCCUGGAGAGAAACCCAGAUCUGGCAAAGGGUUUUUCAAAAACUCAAUAUGCCAGAGAGUGGAGCACUAGGAAGUUUUGUCAUAGCGGCUCAAUAAUAUGGGUGGGACGAUUAAAACAUACAAGCAGUGGACCAAACAAUCAGACCCAAUACAAUUGGUUCCCCAGCCUCACUCUUUAAUACAAAGCAGUGGACAUUCAGAAAUUUCAGUGAGUUGAAGAGCAGCAGUUAGAAAUUCAGCGGCCCAAUGCACUGGUCAAGGCGACCAUGAUGAAGCGCAGCAUUGAGAGAGACGGAAUUGCCGCUAACGCUGUGGCGGCAGUGGAGGAAGGAUUAAAUGCGCUAGCAGAAGCUAUUAGGUUGAACUGGGGUCAAA